AUGGCGAGCAAGGGAGGCAACAAGGGGGAGGGCCCUGCGAUCGGCAUCGACCUCGGCACCACCUACUCCUGCGUCGGCGUAUGGCAGCACGACCGGGUGGAGAUCGUCGCCAACGACCAAGGCAACCGCACCACGCCGUCCUACGUCGCCUUCACCGACACCGAGCGGCUCAUCGGCGACGCCGCCAAGAACCAGGUCGCCAUGAACCCCACCAACACCGUUUUUGAUGCCAAGCGGCUCAUCGGGCGGCGCUUCUCGGACGCAUCCGUGCAGUCGGACAUGAAGAUGUGGCCGUUCAAGGUGGUCCCCGGCGCCGGCGACAAACCGAUGAUCGUGGUCAGCUACAAGGGGGAGGAGAAGACCUUCUCCGCCGAGGAGAUAUCCUCCAUGGUGCUCACCAAGAUGAGGGAGAUCGCCGAGGCCUUCCUCAGCACGACCAUCAACAACGCCGUCGUCACCGUCCCGGCGUACUUCAACGACUCCCAGCGCCAGGCCACCAAGGACGCCGGCGUGAUCGCGGGUCUCAACGUCAUGCGCAUAAUCAACGAGCCCACCGCGGCGGCCAUCGCUUACGGCCUCGACAAGAAGGCCACCAGCACCGGGGAGAAGAACGUGCUCAUCUUCGACCUCGGCGGCGGCACCUUCGAUGUGUCCAUCCUCACCAUCGAGGAAGGCAUAUUCGAGGUCAAGUCCACCGCCGGCGACACCCACCUGGGAGGCGAGGACUUCGACAACCGGAUGGUGAACCACUUCGUGCAAGAGUUCAAGAGGAAGAACAAGAAGGACAUCAGCGGCAACCCGAGGGCGCUCCGGCGGCUGAGGACGGCGUGCGAGAGGGCGAAGAGGACCCUCUCUUCCACCGCCCAGACCACCAUUGAGAUCGACUCGCUCUACGAGGGGAUCGACUUCUACGCGACCAUCACCCGUGCCAGGUUCGAGGAGCUCAACAUGGACCUCUUCCGCAAGUGCAUGGAGCCCGUCGAGAAGUGCCUCCGGGACGCCAAGAUGGACAAGACCCAAAUCCACGACAUCGUGCUCGUCGGAGGCUCCACCCGGAUCCCCAAGGUGCAGCAGCUCCUCCAGGACUUCUUCAACGGGAAGGAGCUCUGCAAGAGCAUCAACCCCGACGAGGCCGUCGCGUACGGCGCCGCCGUCCAGGCCGCCAUCCUCAGCGGCGAGGGCAACCAGAAGGUGCAGGACCUGCUCCUGCUCGACGUGACGCCGCUCUCGCUCGGGUUGGAGACGGCCGGAGGCGUGAUGACGACCCUGAUCCCGAGGAACACCACCAUCCCCACCAAGAAGGAGCAGGUCUUCUCAACCUACUCGGACAACCAGCCCGGCGUGCUGAUCCAGGUGUACGAGGGCGAGAGGACGAGGACCAAGGACAACAACCUGCUGGGCAAGUUCGAGCUGUCCGGCAUCCCGUCGGCGCCCAGGGGCGUACCCCAGAUCACGGUGACCUUCGACAUCGACGCGAACGGCAUCCUGAACGUGUCGGCGGAGGACAAGACGACCGGGCAGAAGAACAAGAUCACCAUCACCAACGACAAGGGGCGGCUGAGCAAGGAGGAGAUCGAGCGCAUGGUGCAGGAGGCGGAGAAGUACAAGUCGGAGGACGAGCAGGUGCGGCACAAGGUGGAGGCCCGCAACGCGCUGGAGAACUACGCGUACAACAUGCGCAACACGGUGCGGGACGAGAAGAUCGCGUCCAAGCUCCCCGCCGACGACAAGAAGAAGAUCGAGGACUCCAUCGAGGACGCCAUCAAGUGGCUCGACGGCAACCAGCUCGCCGAGGCCGACGAGUUCGAGGACAAGAUGAAGGAGCUGGAGAGCAUCUGCAACCCCAUCAUCUCCAAGAUGUACCAGGGUGCUGGCCCGGGCGGCGCGGCCGGCAUGGACGAGGACAUGCCCGGCGGCGGCGCGGGCACCGGCGGUGGGAGCGGUGCCGGGCCCAAGAUCGAAGAAGUGGACUGA
rnacentral:rRNA from 1 species